rnacentral:misc_RNA from 1 species
GGUCAUAUGUUAAGUUUACAGGACCGGCGAUAUCGUUUUGCCCGAUGUCCAUCAUGUAGAGUGCAUUCUGGAACCCUUCUUCGUUAAUUAAAUCCUUUGAUCCUUUUGCAACAAGCUCCAAGGAUCGAGACUUGAAACGAAGGAACUGCCGGACCUGAAUAGCCAAAGAGAAAGCCCGAUCUACCGGUUGCGUCGAUGCGCCGGCGACGGCGAAAUUUGCCCCGUUUUUGAAGUCUGGUGCCAGAGACUCGAGAUAUGAGCUCAGAUAGCUCGUCUUCAACCUCUCACAGAGGAAGUCGACGACGAGGCGACCGUCGCAGAUCCGCCCGGUGGAGCGAUGGAAAAAGAGGCGGCCUUCUGGGAGGGGGAAGUUGUAUCCGAAACCGGCGGCGGCGCCUCCGGUGUCGGAGUUUGAGUCGCCGAAGUUGAACAGCAC